GACGAACGCUGGCGGCGUGCUUAACACAUGCAAGUCGAACGGAAAGGCCCUGCUUUUGUGGGGUGCUCGAGUGGCGAACGGGUGAGAAACACGUGAGUAACCUGCCCUUGACUUUGGGAUAACUUCAGGAAGCUGGGGCUAAUACCGGAUAGGAGCUCCUGCUGCAUGGUGGGGGUUGGAAAGUUUCGGCGGUUGGGGAUGGACUCGCGGCUUAUCAGCUUGUUGGUGGGGUAGUGGCUUACCAAGGCUUUGACGGGUAGCCGGCCUGAGAGGGUGACCGGAGACAUUGGGACUGAGAUACGGACCAGACUCGUACGGGAGGCAGCAGUGGGGAAUAGUGCACAAUGAGCCGAAGUGUAAUGCAGCAACGCCGCGGGCGGGAUGACGGUCUUCGGGUUGUAAAAAGCCUCCGCCUGUGACAAAGCGGGAGUGACGGUAAUGGAUAAAGAAGCACCGGCUAACUACGUG
rnacentral:rRNA from 1 species